rnacentral:siRNA from 1 species
CUAUACAGUGCGUUCUAUUAUGAA